rnacentral:rRNA from 2 species
AGAGUUUGAUCCUGGCUCAGAACGAACGCUGGCGGCAGGCUUAACACAUGCAAGUCGAACGCUCACCUUCGGGUGGGAGUGGCAGACGGGUGAGUAACGCGUGGGAACGUACCCUUCGGUUCGGAAUAACCCAGGGAAACCUGGGCUAAUACCGGAUGCGCCCUCGGGCUUGCCCCGAGGGGAAAGGUUCACUGCCGAAGGAUCGGCCCGCGUCGGAUUAGCUGGACGGUGGGGUAACGGCCUACCGUGGCGACGAUCCGUAGCUGGUCUGAGAGGAUGAUCAGCCACACUGGGACUGAGACACGGCCCAGACUCCUACGGGAGGCAGCAGUGGGGAAUAUUGGUCAAUGGGCGCAAGCCUGAACCAGCCAUGCCGCGUGAGUGAUGAAGGCCUUAGGGUUGUAAAGCUCUUUCGGCGGGGACGAUAAUGACGGUACCCGCAGAAGAAGCCCCGGCUAACUUCGUGCCAGCAGCCGCGGUAAGACGAACCGUGCGAACGUUAUUCGGAAUCACUGGGCUUAAAGGGCGCGUAGGCGGGCUCGUAAGUCAGGGGUGAAAGCCCACGGCCCAACCGUGGAAGUGCCUCUGAUACUGCGGGCCUCGAGGGGGGUAGGGGCGUGCGGAACUCAGGGUGGAGCGGUGAAAUGCGUAGAUAUCCUGAGGAACACCGGUGGCGAAAGCGGCGCGCUGGAUCCCUUCUGACGCUGAGGCGCGAAAGCCAGGGGAGCAAACGGGAUUAGAUACCCCCGUAGUCC